UCAGCCUGCUGAUCCCGCUCGCGCUUUGUCUCCGACGGCUCCUGUUCACCGUCUGACACACCCGUUGAUAUGACAGCAUCGCAACAAUGAUAACGACCAGAAAGGAGGCUCGAAUUUGUAGUCAAGACAUAUUGUUCACAGGCGUGCAAGGAGCAGCGAUUCAUCACAGCCAUCUGUUUGCUGUGCAAAGGGAUCCAGCAGGGAUUGUAUUGCGUAUUUAACUUUGUCGUAUAACAGUGUAAUGUCUACAUUGUUACGCGCGGGUUGCAGAUGUGUGGUAGUAAUAGAUAGGGCCCGUACAAGAUAUACGAUGGAUGGAAAACAUGCUUGGAGAAAGUGGUCAUAGCAGGUGAUUGUCUGAGUGUUUUCGGUUCUUCUCUGCUCCCUCAGUCGCAAAAAAAAAAAA
rnacentral:lncRNA from 7 species